rnacentral:rRNA from 1 species
UACAGAGGUCUCAAGCGUUGUUCGGAUUCAUUGGGCGUAAAGGGUGCGUAGGUGGCGCGCUAAGUCAGGUGUGAAAUCUCGGAGCUUAACUCCGAAACUGCAUUUUGAUACUGGUGUGCUUGAGGACUGGAGAGGAGACUGGAAUUCACGGUGUAGCAGUGAAAUGCGUAGAUAUCGUGAGGAAGACCAGUGGCGAAGGCGGGUCUCUGGACAGUUCCUGACACUGAGGCACGAAGGCCAGGGGGAGCAAAACGGG